rnacentral:rRNA from 1 species
AGGGCGUAUGGGGAAUGCCUAGGCACACUCCGGCGAAGAAGGACGCAGCAAACAGCGAAAUGCGACGGUGAGCGGUAAGCACGUGAAGAGCCGUCGAUAUCCGAAUGGGGGAACCCACACGGAGUCAUAUCCGUGUAUCACAUGUCGAAUACAUAGACAUGAUGAGGCGAGACGCAGGGAACUGAAACAUCUAAGUACCUGCAGGAAGAGAAAAUAAGAAUGAUUUUCUGAGUAGCGGCGAGCGAAAGGGAAAGAGCCCAAACCGAUCUGAGGAUCGGGGUAGUAGGAUCAUCGAUAAAUCAAACAGAGGAUCAUAGAGGAAUCACAUGGGAAGGUGAGCGAGAGAGGGUGAGAGCCCCGUACUCGAAAUGAGAGACUGGAGAGAGAUGACACCUGAGUAGGGCGGGACACGAGAAAUCCUGUCUGAAUCAGCCGGGACCAUCCGGCAAGGCUAAAUACGAGAGAGUGACCGAUAGUGAACCAGUACCGUGAGGGAAAGGUGAAAAGAACCCCGGGAGGGGAGUGAAAGAGAACCUGAAACCAUAUGCCUACAAGAAGUCAGAGCCCGUUAAAGGGUGAUGGCGUGCCUUUUGUAGAAUGAACCGGCGAGUUACUGUAUGGAGCGAGGUUAAGCAGGAUAUGCGGAGCCGAAGCGAAAGCGAGUCUUAAGAGGGCGCGAGUUGCAUGCAGUAGACCCGAAACCGGGUGAUCUAGCCAUGACCAGGUUGAAGUUGGGGUAAAACCCGAUGGAGGACCGAACCGACCCCCGUUGAAACGUUGGCGGAUGAGUUGUGGCUAGGGGUGAAAUUCCAAUCGAACCCGGAGAUAGCUGGUUCUCCCCGAAAUAGCUUUAGGGCUAGCGUCGAGAGAAGAGUUGCGUGAAGGUAGAGCACUGAAUAUGUGAUGGCCCCAUCUCGGGGUACUGAGCAUAAUCAAACUGCGAAUGUCACGCCAACAUGCUCGGCAGUCAGACAGCGGGUGAUAAGGUCCGUUGUCAAGAGGGAAACAGCCCAGACCAUCAGCUAAGGUCCCAAAAUGUAUGCUAAGUGGAAAAGGAUGUGGAGAUGUACAGACAACUAGGAGGUUGGCUCAGAAGCAGCCAUCCUUUAAAGAGUGCGUAACAGCUCACUAGUCGAAUGACUCUGCGCCGAUAAUUUACCGGGGCUAAGCAUACUACCGAAGCUAUGGAUCCCAAGGGAUGGUAGGGGAGCGUUCCAUGAACGGAGAAGUACGACCGAAAGGACGUGUGGAGAUCAUGGAAGAGAGAAUGCCGGUGUGAGUAGCGGAACGUGGGUGAGAAUCCCACGCACCGAAAACCCAAGGUUUCCAGAGGAAGGUUCGUCCGCUCUGGGUAAGUCGGGACCUAAGGCGAGGCCGAAAGGCGUAGUCGAUGGACAACAGGUAGAGAUUCCUGUACCCGUAUAUAUGUGAAGGAAUGACGGAGAGAGGAAGCUGCAGCCAGCGGCUGGAAGAGCUGGUGCAAGCGAGAUAUCGGGAUGGCAGGCAAAUCCACCAUCCGAAACGAGAAGGCGUGAAGCGUACGGAAAGCUACGGCGAGUACGGAAGGCAGUGGAGGAACUUCCAAGAAAAGUUUCUAACGUUAAGUAUAUAUGGCCCGUACCGAAAAUGGACACACAUGGGUGAGGAGAGAAUCCUAAGGUGAGCGAGAGAACUAUAGCUAAGGAACUCUGCAAAAUGACUCCGUAACUUAGGGAGAAGGAGUGCUCAUAGAGAUAUGAGCCGCAGUGAAACGGCCCAAGCGACUGUUUACCAAAAACACAGCUCUCUGCUAAGCCGCAAGGCGAAGUAUAGGGGGUGACGCCUGCCCGGUGCUGGAAGGUUAAGGGGAGGGGUUAACGCAAGUGAAGCCCUGAACUGAAGCCCCAGUAAACGGCGGCCGUAACUAUAACGGUCCUAAGGUAGCGAAAUUCCUUGUCAGGUAAGUUCUGACCCGCACGAAAGGCGUAACGAUUUGGGCGCUGUCUCAGCUGUAGACUCGGUGAAGUCUUAGUACCUGUGAAGAUGCAGGUUACCCGCGACUAGACGGAAAGACCCCAUGGAGCUUCACUGCAGGUUGAUAUUGGGAUUUGAUGCAGCAUGUACAGGAUAGGUAGGAGGCAAAGAGAUGGAUACGCCAGUAUUCAAGGAGCCGCUGUUGGGAUACUACCCCUGUUGUAUUGGAUUUCUAACCGGACGACGUAGAGCCGUUGACGGGACAGUGUCAGUCGGGCAGUUUGACUGGGGCGGUCGCCUCCCAAAGAGUAACGGAGGCGCCCAAAGAUACCCUCAGCUUGGAUGGAAACCAAGCGCAGAGUGCAAAGGCAAAAGGGUGUUUGACUGCGAGACCCACAAGUCGAGCAGGGACGAAAGUCGGGCUUAGUGAUCCGGCGGUGCUGAAUGGA